rnacentral:rRNA from 1 species
AGCGAACGCUGGCGGCAGGCCUAACACAUGCAAGUCGAGCGCCCCGCAAGGGGAGCGGCGGACGGGUGAGUAACGCGUGGGAAUAUGCCCUUUGCUACGGAAUAGUCUCGGGAAACUGGGGGUAAUACCGUAUACGCCCUUUGGGGGAAAGAUUUAUCGGCGAAGGAUUAGCCCGCGUUGGAUUAGGUAGUUGGUGGGGUAAUGGCCUACCAAGCCGACGAUCCAUAGCUGGUUUGAGAGGAUGAUCAGCCACACUGGGACUGAGACACGGCCCAGACUCCUACGGGAAGCAGCAGUGGGGAAUCUUAGACAAUGGGGGCAACCCUGAUCUAGCCAUGCCGCGUGAGUGAUGAAGGCCUUAGGGUUGUAAAGCUCUUUCAGCUGGGAAGAUAAUGACGGUACCAGCAGAAGAAGCCCCGGCUAACUCCGUG